UUAAUUUAUAUUAGGAAAAUAAAUUUUAACAUCUUUUCUUACAGACAUUGUUAUUGGAACUGAAUACGCCUCUAUCUAAACGAAUACGGGGUAUUAUAGAGCAAGUUAGAAACGAAAGACAGAGGUAUAUGAGACUCAUUAUUGUGCGACAAGGUGACAAGUUAGAAGUUCUCUUCAGACAGUUUUUGGUAGAAGACAGAAGUUCUGAUGGAAGUGCAUCGUAUGUAGACUUUUUAUGCCACUUACACAAAGAAAUACGAAGUCUGGUCACUUGAUGAUAGGAUUGUGGUGUCAUACACAUAAGUGCAUUGUAUAUUCUGAAAUUGAUUGAAAUGGAAUCUGCUCAGUUUACUAGGUAGGCUGCAAUGCAGGAAAUUGGACUAUCAAAGUUUAUCGACAGAUUUAUUAUUUAAUCAGUGUUAUUCUUUUCAAUAUCGUAUUUAGUUUCUUAUUAAUUUGGACUAUCAUAAAUUGUUUAUUCUGUUGUAAAAAAGUCAAUCAAAAGUUGUUAAGUGUAGAGAUGUUUCACCUUAAAAAAAAAAAUAUAAAGAAAUUGAUGUCUCAAAAUUUUUAUCUUCUCUCUUUAUACAUCAAAUUAUCAGAAAUUCUAGCAAAUGUAUAUUAUCAUCAAUGGAAUUAUGUACAAUAAAUUUGUUUGGGAAGUUAAGUUCAAUAUAAAUUAAACCAAAAACAUUGAUGCCUUUUAGUUCUAAACUAUAAUAAUAAUAAUAAUAAUAAUAAUAAUAA